UGGAGUGCAAUGCAACCUCUGCCUCCCAUUUUCUUUUUUUUUCUUGUCUGUCAAUGUACAUUUUAUAUUUAAAAAGCAAAACAACAAUGGGGUGAGAACAGGAAGCCACUACACAAGUGGCCAAGAGUUCAGAUCCUUGGAGGCCGUCUUUGGAGAUUUACUGGGCUCUCAUUCUGGCAGCAGCACAGACCGCGUGGACAUGGGGCACCGUCCCCACACCUGAGCUUUCACCUACACCCACCUGAGCUGCGGCAAGGACUGACGGGUACACGUGAAAGCAGUCAGCCUGCCCGGCACUCGUUAAAGGAGAGCUCUAAGGAACACAGCACACAGGCCUGAGGCAGCUUUUACCCAUGCUUUUUUAACUUACAUAAUUUAAAAAAAAAUGGCCUUGUCUGAUUUAAAAAAC